GUUGCAAAACCUGUUGCUGCUGCUGCUGUGGCUGUUGCAAAACCGGCUGCUGUUGCUGCAGUUGUAAAACCUGAUGCUGCUGCAGAACCUGCUGCUGCUGCUGUUGUUGACGCGGUUGUUGCGGAAGCUGCUGUUGCUGCUGCAGUUGUUGAAGCUGUUGCUGCUGCAGUUGUUGAAGCUGUUGCUGCUGCAGUUGUUGAAGCUGUUGCUGCUGCAUCUGCUGCAUUUGCUGCAUUUGCUGUUCUAAUGGAUAAAGCAUUACAACAUUUAAUGGCUG